UACAGAGGUCCCAAGCGUUGUUCGGAUUCAUUGGGCGUAAAGGGUGCGUAGGCGGCGCGGUAAGUCGGGUGUGAAAUCUCGGAGCUUAACUCCGAAACUGCAUUCGAUACUGCCGUGCUUGAGGACUGGAGAGGAGACUGGAAUUUACGGUGUAGCGGUGAAAUGCGUAGAUAUCGUAAGGAAGACCAGUGGCGAAGGCGGGUCUCUGGACAGUUCCUGACGCUGAGGCACGAAAGCGUGGGGAGCAAACAG
rnacentral:rRNA from 1 species